UCAGCCGCCGCGGUAAAACCAGCACCUCGAGUGGUCAGGAGGUUUAUUGGGCCUAAAGCAUCCGUAGCCGGUUGUUUAAGUUUUCGGUUAAAUCUAUGCGCUUAACGUAUAGGCUGCCGAAAAUACUGGACAGCUAGGGAGUGGGAGAGGUACACGGUACUCAAUAGGAAGGGGUAAAAUCCUUUGAUCUGUUGAUGACCACCUGUGGCGAAGGCGGUGUACCAGAACACGUUCGACGGUGAGGGAUGAAAGCUGGGGGAGCAAACCGGAUUAGAUACCCGGGUAGUCCCAGCUGUAAACGAUGCAAACUCGGUGAUGCAUUGGCUUGUGGCCAAUGCAGUGCCGCAGGGAAGCCGUUAAGUUUGCCGCCUGGGAAGUACGUAUGCAAGUAUGAAACUUAAAGGAAUUGGCGGGGGAGCACA
rnacentral:rRNA from 1 species